UAGAAGCUGCACCAGCAAAACCAUUGUUUGUAUCCUGCUUCUACACUCAUGGAGCCAGUUAUUGAACUAUGGAACAGCUGUUGAUUUCAUUUCACCAAAAGCAAGUGCCUUAAUGCCCACAUUUGCCAGUGCUUCCUGUUCUUGAACAUCAGACUGUGAGUUCUUCAGUUUUGGAACUCAAACUGACUCUCCUUGCUCCUCAGCCUGCAGACUGACUAUUGUGGG
rnacentral:lncRNA from 1 species